GUACUUGCUUUGGCAGCACAUAUACUAAAAUUGGAACGACACAAAGAAGAUCAGCAUGGCCCCUGUGCAAGAAUGACAUCCAAAUUCAUGAAGCAUUCCAUAUUUGG